rfam:Aspergillus fumigatus Af293 chromosome 8, whole genome shotgun sequence.
GGUCGCUUAGCUCAGUCGGUUAGAGCGUGGUGCUAAUAACGCCAAGGUCGCGAGUUCGACCCUCGUAGUGACCA